GUGUGGUCACUUCUCAUAUACUGUCAUCUCGCGGAUUUCAGGUGGUCAGUUCUCAUAUACUGUCAUCUCGCGGAUUUCAGUUGGUCAGUUUUCAUAUACAGUUAUAAUUCACGGAUUCAUAAUAGGGCGGUAAUAAUAAGAAAUAUUUUCGCCGAGUAUAUCGAGUCGCAAAAUGUAUAACGGAUACUAAUUGGUUAUUUUACUGUCCAUUCAAAGUUUAAC
rnacentral:lncRNA from 1 species